UACAGAGGGGGCGAGCGUUGUUCGGAAUUACUGGGCGUAAAGGGCGCGUAGGCGGCCAACUAAGUCAGACGUGAAAUCCCUCGGCUCAACCGGGGAACUGCGUCUGAUACUGGAUGGCUUGAAUUCGGGAGAGGGAUGCGGAAUUCCAGGUGUAGCGGUGAAAUGCGUAGAUAUCUGGAGGAACACCGGUGGCGAAGGCGGCAUCCUGGACCGAGAUUGACGCUGAUGCGCGAAAGCCAGGGGAGCAAACAGG
rnacentral:rRNA from 1 species